GGUUACAUUGGCAAUAGUAAUAUGAAGUACAAAAGAGAGUUCUGAAGUGCCAUACACUGAUAUGUACAUGCCGUAUUUGGGUACAUGGUUUCUAAUAUGUUAAUAUGGACAAUGAACAAAAUUUAGUAUGGUAGAUAGAGAUGCUAGGAAUUAAGUUUGUUGGAUUGUGGACAUAAGUGUGCAAAUGAAAUACAAAAUAUGUAUUUUUCAGGUCUUCAACAACUACUCUUGCUUCUGUUUUUUGUUUGCAUGUUUGGGAGCUUCAUGUGUAGUGCUUGGUUGUGUGAUGUUGGUAGGUAACUGGUUGUCAUCUUGGAGGUGUGAGUCGAGGAUGAAGAUGACUUCAUAUGGUGCCUUGUUAGUGAUUGUCUCUAUAUUUACUAUUUUGAUGUAUACGAUGUGCUCACGUGCAGUCGUUGCUAGAAUUGUAGAGCUACUCUCCAUAUGUUCCUGUUGGGAUAUUCAUUAGAAGUAGUUCAUAGUAUAUUUAUUGGAGAGAAACAAAUAAUAGGCAGAAAAAUGAAAUUUUGAGAUAGUUACCUUAGAACUUUGUUUCAUCAAUUCUGUAGCUCGACAUUUGAGGAAUGUUUCAGCCGAUUUUUCAAUAAUUGAUGCUGUGAUUGAGCCUGUGGUGUCCUGUAAUUGAACGAUUGCUCUUGCUUUGUUAGAGUAUAGGUGGAAUCACUGUCAGUGUUUUGGGAUAUAUUUGAUUAUCAUUAGAUGAUGAAUAAUGCAUCUAUUUAUGUAAAUGAUGUACUUGUGACACGAAUAUAAUCUGACCUUGGAAUCGAUGUAGCGUAGUUGUCCUUGCAAAGUCUACAAAAAUAAGUUUCGUUUACAGCUACACUUGUAGAUUU
rnacentral:lncRNA from 1 species